AGUUAUGGAAAGUGAGUAAGUAAUCGGGAUUUUAGCAUCAACGAUAAAGCCAAUAAUAACUGGCAAACAACAACCUUCUUACGCUGUAGCAGCUUAAUAACCUGCACGCGUGCUCUACCUCAGCAUCGCCCAUGUGCUGGGAUUAGGGCUCAACUUUAGUGGGAUACGCCGCUGGGUCUCCGUCUGGGGUCCACGGAAGAAGACAAUCAGACUAGCCUAAAGCGUAGUGGGUGACUUAGCAGCGCUCUAGGCGAAACCUUCAUAAGUCACUACACCCGUAGAAGCUUAUGUGGCGAUAUCUUCGGACAGGGGUUCGACUCCCCUC
rnacentral:tmRNA from 1 species